rnacentral:rRNA from 1 species
GACGAACGCUGGCGGCGUGCUUAACACAUGCAAGUCGAACGGUGAAGCGCCUUCCUUUUUGGUGGGUGUGGAUGAGUGGCGAACGGGUGAGUAACACGUGAGUAACCUGCCCCCUUCUUCUGGAUAACCGCAUGAAAGUGUGGCUAAUACGGGAUAUUCUGGGUCUGUCGCAUGAUGGGUCUGGGAAAGAUAUUGUUUCGGUGGGGGACGGGCUCGCGGCCUAUCAGCUUGUUGGUGGGGUGAUGGCCUACCAAGGCGGUGACGGGUAGCCGGCCUGAGAGGGUGGACGGUCACACUGGGACUGAGACACGGCCCAGACUCCUACGGGAGGCAGCAGUGGGGAAUAUUGCACAAUGGGCGCAAGCCUGAUGCAGCGACGCCGCGUGAGGGAUGGAGGCCUUCGGGUUGUGAACCUCUUUCGCCAGUGAAGCAGGCCUGCCUCGUUUGUGGGUGGGUUGACGGUAGCUGGAUAAGAAGCGCCGGCUAACUACGU